rnacentral:misc_RNA from 1 species
GUUAUUUGGUAGAAGAUAUUAUAGAAAAUACAUGCAAGAGUUUAGGGCAGUAGGAUUGAAUGGCUUUCUAUUAAAAUUAUGUAAAACAAGUCAAUUUUAGGGGGCUGAUUCUGAAACUAAUGCUGUUUACAAGUAAUGAGUUUUUCUUUCCCUCAUUGAAAGAGAUGUCAUCAGUUUUUAGAGUUUGAUAGGAUGGAAAUUAAGCCAGCAGUGAAAGCUCAUGUAAUGUUUUGGUUAGAUCCCUGCCCUAUUGACUAAUCAAAUCACAGAAGACAAACAAUUAUCAAUCAUACAAAGAAUAUAUAACAUAAACUUUCUUCAAAAAACAACUGUGUACGCCUUAAAAGUUACUUCAUAUGAAG